GCUGGAUGGAUCAAAACAAGGAUCGCAGGAGAGGAACUGCAAGGCACUGAGCGGCCACUCUAAGUCCCAGGGACCUCGAAGUCUUUAUCCUGCUGAAUGCUCACAAACCACCUCUGAGGCAGGACCGGUCUCCUCACUUCACACGUGAGAGAGUCAACAUUCAGAAAAGUCAGUGCUGAAGCCUGAAGUCACAGGUUGGGUGGACAAUGGAGCCAGGCUUUUCCCAGAUCUCGCUGAAUAAACUGCUCACGGGCUUUCUAUUCUACUGUAUGUUGCUGAGAUGACCGUCCCAGAAUGGCCCCACCCUUGCUAAACUGGGAGCUGCCUGGAACUAAGCUUCCCUCACAACCUAGCAGCGACUCAGUGUCCUGGAGGCGUUUUCUUUCUCCAUCCCUGCCUCGUAGCCUGUUCUGCCUGCUGAAGUCUUCUCCCCUGGGAAAGGACAAAUCCCCUUGGUGCUUCACAGGGAAACGGUUUUGCUCAGUGGUCACCAGUGGUUCCCCAGCAUCCAGAAGUUGCUGUGUUUGAAGAGCAGGACGGAAUUUUUCCUGAGAAGCAACAGCAGUGAUUGGCAAGGGCGCAAAUGGUGA
rnacentral:lncRNA from 1 species